GAUGAACGCUGGCGGCGUGCCUAAUACAUGCAAGUCGAGCGAACAGACGAGGAGCUUGCUCCUCUGACGUUAGCGGCGGACGGGUGAGUAACACGUGGAUAACCUACCUAUAAGACUGGGAUAACUUCGGGAAACCGGAGCUAAUACCGGAUAAUAUAUUGAACCGCAUGGUUCAAUAGUGAAAGACGGUUUUGCUGUCACUUAUAGAUGGAUCCGCGCCGCAUUAGCUAGUUGGUAAGGUAACGGCUUACCAAGGCAACGAUGCGUAGCCGACCUGAGAGGGUGGUCGGCCGCACUGGAGCUGAGACACGGUCCAGGCUCCUGCGGGAGGCAGCAGUAGGGAAUCGUCGGCAGUGGGCGGAAGCAUGACGGAACGACGCCGAGUGAGUGAUGAAGGUCUUCGGAUCGUAAAACUCUGUUAUUAGGGAAGAACAAAUGUGUAAGUAACUAUGCACGUCUUGACGGUACCUAAUCAGAAAGCCACGGCUAACUACGUG
rnacentral:rRNA from 1 species